AUUAGUGGCAGACGGGUGAGUAAUGCAUAGGAAUCUACCUAGUAGUAUAGGAUUGCCACUAGAAGUGGUGGGUAAUACUGUAUAAUCCCUGCGGGGGAAAGAUUUAUCGCUACAUGAUGAGCCUAUGUUAGAUUAGCUAGUUGGUGGGGUAAUGGCCUACCAAGGCAGUGAUCUAUAGCUGGUCUGAGAGGAUGAUCAGCCACACUGGAACUGAGACACGGUCCAGACUCCUACGGGAGGCAGCAGUGGGGGAUAUUGGACAAUGGGCGCAAGCCUGAUCCAGCUAUGCCGCGUGAGUGAGGAAGGCCUUAGGGUUGCAAAACUCUUUCAGUAGGGAAGAUAAUG
rnacentral:rRNA from 1 species